CAGGUACUGCAGUGGAGUGGGGCAGACAGAGCCGUCGGGGGCCUGUGAGGAGGGCUUCUACUGCAGACAGAGAGCCACCACAGCAACUCCUGUGGAUGGCCCUUGGGGUGGUCUGUGCCCAGCUGGCAGUUAUUGCCCCUCUGGGUCACCCCACCCGUCCCCAUGUCCCCCUGGCACCUUCAGCAACAGCACCGGCCUCAAGGACCCGCAGCAGUGUGUCAGCUGCCCCCCUGGGUAUUACUGUCUGGGCUCCAACAACUCUGCCCCCACCGGACACUGUUUUGCAGGGUUCUACUGCCCUGGUGGGGCAGAUUCCCCUGUGCAGAGGGAGGCUGAGGAGGGGCACUACU